AUGAAAGGGAUCUUUUGGAAUAGCAGAGGUCUUAAGGACUUGGCUAAAAGGAGGUUCCUUGCGGAGGCAUCUAUUGAGCAUUGUUUGGACUUUAUUGCCCUGUCGGAAACGGGUAGAGCAAAUUUCUCACCUCAAUUUCUCAAUACUUUGUCGGGAGGGAUUGAGUUUGACUGGCAUUGUCUACCGCCUAGAGGUAGGUCGGGGGGUAUCUUACUGGGUGUUAGAUGUGACUCUCUUGAAGUUCGAAGUGUGGUCAUGGGGGAUUUUGCUGUUAAGUUCAGGGUGCGGUCCAAACAGGAUGGUUUUGACUGGGCUUUGGUGGCGGUGUACGGGGCAGCGCAGUCCGAGUUCAAACCAGAUUUCCUGGCAGACCUUGUUAGAGUAUGUGGGUCUGAGCAGCUUCCAAUUCUGGUUGGGGGGGAUUUUAACAUAAUUAGGAGACGCGAUGAAAAGAAUAAUGACAACUUCGAUGGGAGAUGGUCAUUUAUGUUUAAUACCAUUAUUGAAAGCUUAGAUUUGAGAGAAAUUGAGCUUUCAGGUAGGAAGUUCACGUGGGCUAAUGCGAUGCCUAAUCCAACAUACGAGAAGUUGGAUCGGGUUCUGGCUAGUGUUGCUUGGGAACAGAAGUUUCCCGUGGUAACUGUUCAGGCGCUCACUCGUGGGAUCUCUGAUCACACGCCGUUGUUGCUUGAUUCUGGCGGGGCUACAUACUCGGGCAACAAAAAUGUUUUCUCGUUCGAGAUGGCGUGGUUUGAAAGAGAAGGAUUUUUGGAUAUUAUUGCCAGAGAAUGGGCGAAAGAGGUAGGAGGUAGAAGUGCCAUUGAGAGGUGGCAGAACAAGAUUAGGAAUCUCCGUAGCUUCCUUCGUGGGUGGGCUAAACAUCUAGGGGGAAUGUAUAAGGUUGAGAAGGAACGGCUCCUUUCACUUAUAAAAACCUUAGAUGUAAAAGCAGAAACUACGGUUCUGGUACCCACUGAGCUUCAUAUUAAGCAUGAGGCUGAGAUGAGGCUGAAGGAAUUGCUCCGGGAGGAAGAAUUGAAGUGGGCAUUAAGGGCAAAGGUGAGAAAAGUUGUCCAGGGGGAUGCGAACACACAGUUCUUCCACAUGAUUGCUAAUGGCAAGCAUAGGAAGAAGAGGAUCUUCCAGCUGGAGCAAGAGGAGGGUACAAUAGUUGGCCAAGACAACCUGAAAACAUACAUUACUGAAUAUUACAAAAGGUUGUUUGGACCACCAGAGGAGAGUAGUGUAUCCCUGGAUGAGUCUAGGGUCAGCGAUAUCCCUCAGCUUUCUUCAGUGGAGAACGAUUUGUUAACAGCCCCUUUCUCGGAAAAGGAAGUUUUCGAGGCUAUUGCCAAGAUGAAAUGUAAUAAGGCGCCGGGGCCGGAUGGUUUCCCGGCUGAGUUUUACAAGAAGUGUUGGCAUAUUAUCAAAGGGGACCUGAUGCCAAUGUUCCAUGAUUUGUUCUCGGGACACUUGCAGCUGUUCCAACUGAAUUUUGGCACGAUAACGUUGUUGCCUAAGAAAACUGAUGCCGUCAAAAUUGAACAAUUUCGGCCGAUCUGCCUGCUCAAUGUCAGCUUCAAAAUUUUUACCAAGGUUGGUACGAUAAGGCUGACUCAGAUAGCGCACGCUGUUGUUCAACCUUCGCAAACGGCUUUCAUGCCGGAUAGGAACAUCCUAGAGGGGGUUGUGGUCCUACAUGAAACGCUUCAUGAAAUUCAUACGAAAAAAAUAGAUGGGGUUAUUUUCAAAGUGGAUUUCGAGAAGGCUUAUGAUAAAGUCAAAUGGCCGUUCCUCCAGCAAGCUUUAAGAAUGAAGGGUUUUGAUGAGCGCUGGAGGCAUCAGGUGGAAACGUUCACGCAAAAAGGUAGCGUUGGCAUUAAGGUCAAUGAUGACAUAGGCCACUAUUUCCGAACACACAAGGGUCUGCGACAGGGCGAUCAUAUGUCACCUAUUCUGUUCAAUAUUGUGGUUGAUGUGUUAGCGAUCCUGAUUGGGAGGGCCAAAGAGGCUGGUCAGGUGGAGGGAGUGGUGCCUCAUCUGGUUGAUGGUGGUUUAUCCAUCCUGCAAUACGCUGACGAUACAAUCAUUUUUAUGGAACAUGAUUUGGCCAAGGCGAGGAACAUGAAACUAGUAUUAUGCCUUUUUGAACAAUUGUCUGGGCUGAAGAUUAAUUUCCAUAAAAGUGAGUUGUUCUGUUUUGGUAGAGCCAAAGACGAACAGGAAGCUUAUACACAAUUGUUCGGAUGUGAGAGUGGGUCUCUUCCUUUCUCUUAUCUCGGUAUUCCAAUACACCAUCGUAAGUUAACGAAUGCUGAAUGGAAGACCAUCGAGGAUAGAUUUGAGAAAAAACUAAGUUGUUGGAAAGGAAAACUCAUGUCUUAUGGAGGCCGGUUGAUUCUCAUUAACUCGGUGCUCACGAGUUUACCUAUGUUUCUGCUAUCUUUCUUCGAAGUACCAGUUGGGGUGAGGAAGAGACUAGACUUUUAUCGGUCUCGCUUCUUCUGGCAGAGUGAUGAAUCUAAGAGGAAGUAUAGAUUGGCCAAAUGGGAUAUUAUUUGCAGACCAAAGGACCAAGGAGGACUUGGCAUUGAAAAUCUUGAAGUUAAAAAUAAGUGCCUCCUGAGUAAGUGGCUGUUUAAGCUGUCUUCUGAGACAGAGGCAACAUGGGCGCAGAUUUUACGGAGUAAAUAUCUGUACUCAAAGACUUUAUCCCAAGUCACUAUGAGACCUACAGACUCGCCGUUCUGGAAAGGGCUAAUGAGGGCUAAAUCCACUUUCUUUAACAGAACGAAAUGUAUUGUUGGUAAUGGAGCUGAUACGCGAUUCUGGGAGGAUACGUGGCUGGGUGACACGCCUCUGGCUUCUCAGUAUCCAGCGCUGUAUCGUAUUGUUCAGCAUAGGGAUGCCCUUGUGGUCACAGUAAUGCAGACGAUUCCCCUUAACAUCCAGUUUAGAAGAGUGCUUGCUGGACCGAGAUGGGAAGCAUGGCUUCACUUGGUCCGUAGGCUGAUGGAGGUGCAGCUAAAUCCUCAGCCCGACCAGUUGUAUUGGAAGCUAACUAGAACUGGGGUGUUCACGGUCAAGUCUAUGUAUCUUGAUAUCAUUAAUUCAUCCGUGAUACCUACGUCCAAUGUAGUCUGGAACGUUAAGGUUCCUUUGAAGAUUAAAGUGUUUAUGUGGUUUGUGCAUAAACAGGUAAUUCUUACAAAGGACAAUCUAGUUAAGCGCAACUGGACAGGAUCUACUAGGUGUAGCUUCUGUGAUCGGGAUGAGUCUAUCAAACAUUUAUUUUUUGAUUGCCCGUUGGCACAAGGGUUGUGGCGCACCGUGCAAAUUGCCUUUAAUAUUACUCCACCGAGAUCGGUAAACACGCUUUUUGGGGCGUGGUUGCUCGGGACGGAGCCCGAAACAGCCAGACAAAUUUGUGUAGGAGUAUGUGCGUUAUUAUGGGCAAUUUGGAACUGCAGGAAUGACUUGGUUUUUAACAGGACAUCAAAUACUCAUUUUUUGCAGGUGUUGUUCCGGGCUACGGCGCUGAUCCGUACUUGGUCCUUACUCACUCCGACGGAGGCCAGGGAGCGUUUGGUUACUGGAUCUGUCCGGUGGGAGACGGUUGCGCGGGAUAUCUUCAACCGGUUUGGAUGGCGAUCAUGUAAUAGGAUAGGCAUCUAG
rnacentral:rRNA from 1 species